GAUGAACGCUGGCGGCGUGCCUAAUACAUGCAAGUCGAGCGAACGGACGAGAAGCUUGCUUCUCUGAUGUUAGCGGCGGACGGGUGAGUAACACGUGGAUAACCUACCUAUAAGACUGGGAUAACUUCGGGAAACAGGAGCUAAUACCGGAUAAUAUUUUGAACCGCAUGGUUCAAAAGUGAAAGACGGUCUUGCUGUCACUUAUAGAUGGAUCCGCGCUGCAUUAGCUAGUUGGUAAGGUAACGGCUUACCAAGGCAACGAUGCAUAGCCGACCUGAGAGGAUGAUCGGCCACACUGGAACUGAGACACGGUCCAGACUCCUACGGGAGGCAGCAGUAGGGAAUCUUCCGCAAUGGGCGAAAGCCUGACGGAGCAACGCCGCGUGAGUGAUGAAGGUCUUCGGAUCGUAAAACUCUGUUAUUAGGGAAGAACAUAUGUGUAAGUAACUGUGCACAUCUUGACGGUACCUAAUCAGAAAGCCACGGCUAACUACGUG
rnacentral:rRNA from 1 species